GGCGCACGGUCCGUUGUUCAUUUGCCAUUCGACCUCCGCCAGGGCCUGGUCGGACGGAAACGCUCCGCCGGCUUUAUUGUCGCUUCGUUAUGUGGCGGAGCCGAGCAGCUUAGCGUGCCUCUCAGCGCCUGCGAAGCCGGCGGCAGCGUCGGAACUCGGCGCGCGGAGGAAGGAUAUCUGUGUGGAGGGUCGGUGUGUGCGCGCGGCUUUAAAGAGGGGGCAGCGAAGGGUCUCCCCGCACUCCGCCGCUCAACUUCGAAGGCCUCGCGCGCCCCCGGCUAGCUCCUCACCUCUCCGCCGCCCGCCCCCUUCUCCGCGCGGGACGCUGCCCAUAGCGCGGCGGGGCGGGGGUGGAGAACGAGAGAGCGGCCGGAGGCGGCGGCCCGGCAGCGGUAGCGGACGCGUGCGGCAGCCCCGGGAGCGAGCGCGAGCCGGGCUGCCGGGCGGGAGGGCGAGGCCGAGCCCCGCGAGACCGGAACGCCGGGGCGGGGGCGAGACGAAGGGGGAGCCGCGGGGAGCGCGCGGGACGCGGCCCGAGGCCGUGCGCGAGCCGGGGCACCGGGCGGCGGCGGCGCGCGCCAUGUCGUUCAGUGAAAUGAACCGCAGGACGCUGGCGUUCCGAGGAGGCGGGUUGGUCACCGCCAGCGGCAGCGGCUCCACGAACAAUAACGCUGGCGGGGAGGCCUCAGCUUGGCCUCCGCAGCCGCAGCCGAGACAACCCCCGCCGCCAGCGCCGCCCGCGCUUCAGCAGCCUAAUGGGCGGGGGGCCGACGAGGAAGUGGAAUUGGAGGGCCUGGAGCCCCAAGACCUGGAGGCCUCUGCUGGGGCGGCCGCCGGCGUCGCCGAGGAAGCCAAGGAGUUGCUCCCCCAAGACGCGGGCGGCCCCACCUCUCUGGGCGGCGGUGGCGCUGGGGGCCCCCUGCUAGCGGAAAGGAACCGUCGGACUCUGGCCUUCCGAGGAGGCGGCGGCGGCGGGGGUCUCGGCAACAAUGGCAGUAUACGCGGCCGCCCGGGGACCUCGGCGUGGCCCCUGAGGCAUUUCAAUGGGCGAGGGCCGGCUGCUGUAGAUCUGGAGCUGGACACGCUGGAGAGGAAGGAGUUGAUGCAGGACGGCGCGUCCCUGAGCGACAGCACCGAGGACGAGGAGGAGGGGGCGAGCCUGGGCGACGGCAGCGGGGCGGAAGGCGGCAGCUGCAGCAGCAGCAGGCGGUCGGGCGGCGAUGGCGGGGACGAAGUGGAGGGCAGCGGUAUGGGAGCUGGCGAAGGAGAGACUGUCCAGCACUUCCCGCUCGCGCGGCCCAAGUCUCUAAUGCAGAAGCUUCAGUCCUCCUUCCAGGCCUCCUGGCUCAAGGACUUUCCCUGGCUGCGCUAUUCCAGGGAUACUGGCCUUAUGUCUUGCGGCUGGUGCCAAAAGACCCCUGCAGAUGGGGGAAGCGUGGACCUUCCCCAAGUGGGGCAUGAUGAGCUUUCGCGAGGGACCCGCAACUACAAGAAAACCCUUCUCCUGAGGCACCACGUUUCUAACGAGCACAAACUCAACGCCAACGCCCAGGAAUCAGAGGAGGGUUACUGUGACUUUAAUAGUAGGCCACAUGAAAACUCUUACUGCUAUCAACUUCUGCGACAACUAGAUGAACAGAGAAAGCAAGAUAUUCUUUGUGAUGUUAGCAUUGUGGUAAGCGGAAAAAUCUUCAAAGCUCAUAAGAACAUCCUGGUUGCAGGCAGCCGUUUCUUUAAGACUUUAUAUUGUGCUUCAGACAAAGAAAAACCUAAGCAAAACAAUACUACCCAUUUAGAUAUUGCUGCAGUUCAAGGUUUUUCAGUCAUCUUGGACUUCUUGUAUUCUGGUAACCUGGUGCUCACAAGCCAAAAUGCCAUUGAAGUUAUGACAGUGGCCAGCUAUCUUCAAAUGAGUGAAGUUGUUCAAACUUGCCGAAAUUUCAUUAAAGAUGCCUUAAAUAUAAGCAUUAAAUCAGAAGCUCCAGAGUCUGUAGUUGUGGACUAUAAUAAUAGAAAACCAGUUAAUAGAGAUGGUCUGUCUUCAUCACGGGAUCAAAAAAUUGCCAGUUUUUGGGCAACACGGAAUCUUACCAAUUUGGCAAGUAAUGUAAAGAUUGAAAAUGAUGGUUGUAAUGUCGACGAGGGCCAAAUAGAAAACUACCAAAUGAAUGAAAGUAGUUGGGUCCAGGAUGGAUCUCCUGAAAUGGCUGAAAAUGAAUCUGAAGGUCAAACAAAAGUGUUUAUUUGGAAUAAUAUGGGCUCCCAGGGAAUUCAAGAGACUGGCAAAACGAGGAGGAAAAACCAAACAACAAAAAGAUUUAUUUAUAAUAUUCCACCUAAUAAUGAAACGAAUUUAGAAGAUUGCUCAGUGAUGCAGCCACCUGUUGCCUAUCCGGAAGAAAAUACACUACUCAUCAAGGAAGAGCCAGAUUUAGAUGGUGCUCUACUCUCGGGGCCAGAUGUUGAUAGGAAUGUGAAUGCAAAUUUAUUGGCUGAAGCUGGCACUAGUCAAGAUGGAGGUGAUGCUGGUACUUCACAUGAUUUCAAGUAUGGUUUGAUGCCUGGUCCUUCAAAUGAUUUCAAGUAUGGAUUGAUACCGGGUACUUCAAAUGAUUUCAAGUAUGGAUUGAUACCAGGUGCUUCAAAUGAUUUCAAGUAUGGAUUAUUGCCAGAAUCUUGGCCAAAACAAGAAACUUGGGAAAAUGGUGAAUCAUCUCUAAUCAUGAACAAGUUAAAAUGCCCUCACUGUAGCUAUGUAGCCAAAUACAGACGAACACUAAAAAGGCACUUGCUCAUUCACACAGGAGUGAGAUCAUUUAGCUGUGAUAUUUGUGGAAAACUGUUUACUCGAAGAGAACAUGUAAAAAGACAUUCCCUGUGACAAAGUUACACUGUGUUGUCCAGGCUGAUGUCCAACUCCUGACCUCAUGCAGUCCUCCUGCCUUGGCCUCCCAAGUGCAGGUGUGAGCCACCACACCCAGUAAGAAUAAUGUGAGAACCCCAUGCUGUUAACCCUUUUUCAGUUGAAUGCUUUACUUUUUUUUUUUUUUUGAGUCAGAGGUUUACUCCUGUUGCCCAGGCUGGAGUGCAAUGUUGUCAUCUUGGCUCACUGCAACCUCUGCCUCCCAGGUUCAAGCCAUUCUGUUGCCUCAGCCUCCCAAGUAGCUGGGAUUACAGGCAGUCACCACCACACCCAGCUAAUUGUGUAUUUUUAGUAGAGACGGGGUUUCUCCAUGUUGGUCAGGCUAGUCUCGAACUUCAGACCUCAGGUGAUUCGCCCACCUCGGCCUUUCAAAGUGCUGGGAUUACAUGCAUGAGCCACAGAGCCCAGCCUACUUUCCAUUUUAAGACUAAGAAUUGAAUAUUUGAUGUGAAAAAUUGAUGUCCAAAAAUAUUUUAGAGAGAGGCAAGUAGAAUUAUUUUUUAUAUACUAGGAUAUUAAUUUGUUGGCACUGGUAUAACACUUAUCUUGGAGAAGCAAGUAUAAUCCUAUGUUAAGAUUAAGUUUGUAGUUUGAUAUAAAAAUUUAAAUGUUGCUAAUCUCAGCCUUUCAAGAAUUUCAUAGUUGACUUAAGGCAGUGUAAUUUUAACAUUCAUACAUUUAAUUAUGCAAUUCCUUUAGAAAAUGUAUUACAUGGAAAAUGAGAGGCUUUUCUUUAAUUGCAUUUUAGAUUAUAGUCUAAAAGAAAUGAGGAAUAUUUCAAUAUUUAUUUAUUAUGAAACUUAAAGUCCCUCAAGCCCAUCAUUUGUCCUCUUUAGCUAAAGCAGGAUAGUUUCAUAAUUAUAGAUACUUUCUUAUUUUUAUACUGUCCUUAUUUUGAAAAACAUGAGUAUAUGUCGAGUGCAUUUAUGUCACUAAGAUGGAAGAAUUUGAAUAUUGUCAUUAGCUAAUUUACAUCCUAAAAGUUAUUAAUGCUUAUUAGCACAUUUUUGAACUUAAAAUAUGAGUCAGGAAAUUCCCUAAUAAUAAACAUGCACAUGCCUUUUUUUUUUUUUUUUUUUUCCCCCGAGACGGAGGCUUGCACUGUUGCCUGGGCUGGAGUGCAAUGUCGCGAUCUCUUCUCACUACAACCUCUGCCUCCUGGGUUCAAGUGGUCUCCUACUUCAGCCUCUCAGGUAGCUGAGAUUACAGGCAUGUGCCACCAUGCCCAGCUAAUUUUGUAUUUUUAGCAGAGACAGGGUUUCUCAAUGUUGAUCAGGCUGGUCUCAAACUCCUGACCUCAGGUGACCCACCUGCCGCUCCCAAAGUGCUGGGAUUACAGGCUUGAGCCAUCGAGCCUGGCCGCCAAAUGCAUUUUAUAAGGCUUAUUGUGUGCUGUUUGAAAGCUACCACCAUAUAUGUCAUUAUUCUACUGGUGUAAAAUCUACUAUGAAUAUAAGAGAGCUGAGAAUCCUGAGACCAUCCUGCCUGUCUAGGUGAUUCAUUUUAUUGCCAUUUUCAGCAAUUGAUUGAUACUCGUGACAAAGGAAUGUUUUUACUCCUUAAGCAUUUAUCACUCAGUAGCAUCAUGCCAAUUUGCUGUAAGUUUUAUGUUUAAUGUAAGCCAUUUCCUUAUAGUGUCAGUAUGACUCAAGACUUCUAAUGGUUGGGAAACUAAGUGCAGAUGAUACAGACAUGCAAUAUUUUUUGCAAGCAGAAAAUUUAUAAAUUUGCAUUAGCUGGUUUGCCACUCUAGAAGCUUCUUUUCUGCAUUUAUGAUGUAAAUAACUUGAAAAAUCAGAUUUGAGAAUGUUUCCAAUAUAUUAUACUGUAAUUAAUGUCCUUUUAGUGGUAUAUUUUUAAAAGUAGUACCUACUUUAUCACCAUAUUUCAUUGUUGGAGAUGACUGAUGAGGUAAUUGCAAAUGCAGGAUGUGGCAUUUAUAUAUGCUAGAAAGAGACUCAUUUUAUUUUUUUAUUUUUUAUUUUUAUUUUUUGAGAUGGGGAUGGAGUUCCACUCUUGUUGCCCAGGCUGGAGUGCAGUGGCGCGAUCUCAGCUCACUGCAACCUCCACCUCCCAGGUUCAAGCGAUUCUCCUGCCUCAGCCUCCCGAGUAGCUGGGAUUACAGGCAUGCACCACCAUGCUUGGCUAAUUUUGCAUUUUUUGUAGAGAUGGGGUUUCUCCAUGUUGGUCAGGCUGGUCUUGAACUCUCAUCCUCCGCCUCAGCCUCCAAAAGUGCUGGUAUUAUAGACUUGAGCCACCACGCCCGGCCUACUCAGUUUUAUUUUUUAACCACAUCCACUCAUAGAAAGAAAACCUAAUUGUACCAUUAAAGAAAAAUCACAAGCAAUUGAAGCUAAAGAUUGGUGUACUGUGUAACUGAGUCCCAUCAUAAUAAUUUAAGUAUGUUUAAAGCAUUUUUAUUGUGGAAUUUAUAAUUAGAACAUGGCAUAUAUUUAAGGCCUUUGUAUUUCAGUUUCAGAGACGAAAGCUUUUAAAGACUUCUGAGAAGUUGUAGUUAUAGCUCAUGAACGUGACUAUCAUGGACAUUGGAGAGGGAAUGUAGGGGAUUCUCAUGAGGCACAGUAGAUGGAAAAGACUUCUGAAGCAAAAGUUGUCCUGAUUUGUAGAUGUGAUUUAGAACGGUUGCAGAAUAAACUACAGCUUCAUAUGAACUGGCCUUACUUCUUUGAGCAGGCUGGAGUGCAGUGGUGCGAUCUCAGCUCACCGCAACUUCCACCUCCCGGAUUCAGGCGAUUCUCCUGCCUUGGCCUCCCGAGUAGCUGUGAUUACAGGCAUGUGCCACCACACCUGGCUAGUUUUGUAGUUUCAGUAGCAAUGGGGUUUCUCCUUGUUGGUCAGGCUGGUCUUGAACUCCCGACCUCAGGUGGUCCGCCCCCGCCUGCCUCAGCCUCCCAAAGUGCUGGGAUUACAGGCAUGAGCCACCGUGCCCAGCCUCUAAUACAUUCUUUUGAGUAUUUUUGUAAAAUUAGAGAUUGUCGGACAGUGCUAAGAAGAAUAAUCCUAGUGAUUGGGUUCAAUGACACUUGGAUAAUGCUACUAAAUAUGAAAUUCUUUUAAGAGAGUUUAAAGCACCAACUCCUACCAAUGAGAAUGUUGGAAAGUCCUAUGGUUGCUGUGUAAGGUCAGCUCCACAUGCCUCCUGUUUUUGCUUUUGUUGAUUAAGAGAAAAGAGAGUAGCCAAUUGUAAGUGGUUGUAUUCCUAGUUGAUCAGGGCUUCCUAAAAGACUAUCAAAGCCAUUGAUUCAAUUACGUAGGUGUAAGAGUUUCAACUGGAUUAGUAGCCCACAUGAAGUAGAAAUAGAAAGGCCAACCAAAGAACUAGUGAUUCUAAGGUAAAAUUUCCAGAAAUCUAAAAAAAGAACCCUUAAGAUUGGAGAUGAUACCAGUUUUAUAGUAAUGGUGAUUGUUAGCUGUUAAGGUUUGAUGAGAAAAGUUCACUUAUGUGUCUUUCAAAAGUUUGUUCUGAUAUUUCUUUUUUUCUCUUUUUCUUUUUGAGACAGUCGCACUGUGUCGCCCAGGCUAGAGUACAGUGGUAUGAUCUCAGCUCACUGCAGCCUCCACCUUCUGGGUUCAAGCGAUUCUCCUGCCUCAGCCUCCCAAGUAGUUGGGACUACAGGUGCCUGCUGCCGUGCCUGGCUAAUUUUUGUGGUGUUAGUGAAGAAGGGGUUUCACUAUGUUGACCAGGCUGGUCUUGAACUCCUGACCUCGGGAUCUGCCUGUCUUGGCCUCCCAAAGUGCUGGGUUUACAAGCAUGACCCGCCAUACCCGGCCCUGUUCCCAUGAUAAUUCUAAGUCACUGUUUAUUAAAGCAUCUAAGCCUAAGCAUAAAAGUUAGAGUGGUUUUUUUUUUUGUUUUUUGUUUUUUUUUAAGAGACAGGGUCUCACUCUGUUGUCUAGACUAUAGUGCAGUGGCUCAAUCACAGCUCACUGCAAUCUCAAACUCCUGAGCUCAAGUGAUCCUUCAGCCUUAGCCUGUGAGUGGCUGGAACCAUAGGCACAUACUGUCAUGCCCAGCUAAGUUUCUUUAGUGCGUGUGUGCGUGCGCUUUUUUGUUCUGUUUUCUUUUGAGACAGAGUCUUCCUCUGUCCCUCAGGCUGGAGUGCAGUGGCAUGAUUGCAGCUAACUGCAGCCUCAACCUCCCAGGUUCAGACAGAUCACUUGAAGUCAGGAGUUCAAGACCAACCUGGCCAACAUGGUGAAACUCUGUCUCUACUUAAAAUACAAAAACUGGCCGGGCGUGGUGGCUCAUACCUGUAAUCCCAGCACUUUGGGAGGCUGAGGCAGGUAGAUCACGAGGUCAGAAGUUCAAGACCAGCCUGGCCAACAUGCUGAAACCCCGUCUCUACCAAAAAUACAAAAAUUAGCCAGGCAUGGUGGAGCGAGCCUUAGUCCCAGCUACCUGGGAGGCUGAGGCAGGAGAAUUGCUUGAGCCAGGAGGCAGAGGUUGUAGUGAGCUGAGUUUGCACCACUGUACUCCCAGCCUGGGCAACAGAGUGAGACUCCAUCUCAAAAAAAAAAAAAGUGAAUUAAAAAUACAAAAAUUAGCUGGGCAUGGUGGCGCAUACCGGUAAUCCUGGCUACUUGGGAGGCUGAGGCGGUAGAAUCACCUGAACCCGGGAGGCAGAGGUUGCAGUGAGCCGAGAUCAUACCAUUGCACUCCAGCCUCGGUGACAGUGUGAGACAUAAUCUCACCACUCAGAGAUAGUAAUUGUUAACAUUUUGUUGUGUAUUCUCGCAAAUAAUUGUAUGCAUGUGUAGCUCUAUGCAGGACUGGUUUUCAAUCACACUGAUAAGUAACUGUGUCAGGUCAUUUAUUUUUAUUUUUAAUUUUUAUUUAUUUUGGGGUUUUUUUUGAGACAGAGUCUCACUCUGUUGUCCAGUCUGGAGUGCACUGCUGCUAUCUCAGCUAACUGCAACCUCGACCUCCUGGGUUCAAGCAAUUCUCCUGCCUCAGCCUCCCAAGUAGCUGGGAUUACAGGAGUGUGCCACCACACCCAGCUAAUUUUUGUAUUUUUGGUAGAGACAGGGUUCUGCCAUAUUGGCCAGGCUGGCCUCAAACCCCUGACCUAAGUGAUCCUCCUGCCUCAGCCUCCCAAAGUGCUGGGGUUCCAGGCAUGUGCCACUGCACCCUGCCAUGUCGGGUAUUUAUAAUCAGCAACUGUUCUGGUUUUUCAGUGGCUUUUCUUACUGUUGGUAAAAUAUGUUAACUAUCACUCUUUUCCUAUCAACCUAUUGAUCGAUCUAUUUUUAUACUUUUAAAAAUGUGGCCAUUGGCCAGGCGCGGUGGCUUACGCCUAUAACCCCAGCACUUUGGGAGGCCGAGGUGGGCAAAUCACAAGAUCAGGAGUUUGAGACCAGCCUGGCCAACAUGGUGAACCCUGUUUCUACUAAAAAUAUAAAAAUUAGCUGGGCAUGGUGGUGCAAGCCUGUAGUCCCAGCUACUCGAGAGGCUGAGGCAGGAGAAUCGCUGGAACCUGGGAGACAGAGGUUGCAGUGAGCCAAGACCGAACCACUGCACUCCAGCCUCAGCAACAGAGCAAGACUCUGUCUCAAAAAACAAAAAUGUGACCACAUACUAUGUGCUCUGUUGUGUAAUCUGUUAAAUUUUCAUUUAACAAUGCGGUAACAUCUUUCGAUGUUAGUAAAUAUGAGUCUACUUCAUUUUUAAUAACUGCAUUGAAUUGGUGUGCUUAGGAAAGACUUCUUCAUUUUAAAAUUACUAAAAUAGUCAAAUAUAUUACUUUCCAGUUAAGCUUAUCUCUAUCUAAGUGGUCAGCAAACUUAUUCUGUAAAGGGCCAGACAGUACAUAUUUUUGGCUUUGUGGGCCAUACAGUCUCCAUCAUAACUAUUCGAUUCUGCCAUUUUAGUACAAAGCAGCCAUACACAACCAAUACCUACACAAUCCUUAAACUUAUGCACGCUGAAAUUUGAGUUCCAUACAAUUUUACAUGUUAUGAAGUAUCUUUUGUUUUUUUUUCAUUUAAAAGUAUAAACUCAUUUUCUACCUUCUUAGCUCACCAGUUAUACCAAAACAAGUGGCAGGUUGCGCUUGGCUCUCAGGCCAGAGUUUGCUGACCCCUCUAGCAGAAUGCUUUCCUUCAAAGCUUUCAUCUCCUGCCAGGAAGUCUCUCAGUGAACACCUAAGUUUCUUUCAGUUGGAUGCUAACCUUCUUGGAUAUGUUCUUUUGAUGGUACAGAGAUGCCCUGGGUUGUAAAGUGAAAAAUCACACCUCUGACUUAGCUUGUGUUUUUGUCACACGUCUCCAAUCCAAACCGUAAGAGGAUAAAAUUCAGAGGUUGGGAGAAGGAACAACUUCAUUUCUAUUUUAGAAAACACAGCCAUUUGAGCAUGUUUAUUGAAAGCACAGAUAUAUUUUACAAAUUCAGUUUUUCCUUUCUUUUCUUGUAAAAGUUUCUCAUUGCUUUUAUACUUUUACUAAGAAAACAUUGCCUUAAUAUUGAAGAGAGAGACUUCUCUUACUGUUACCCUGUGGAAGCCAUAUUUCCAAGCUGCAUCAUAUACUCUUUUUUGCUGUUUUUGUUUGGACACGGAGUCUUGCUCAGUUGCCCAGGGUGGAAAACAAUGGCGUGAUCUCAGCUCACUGCAACCUUGGCCUCCCAGGUUCAAGCAAUUCUCCCACCUCAGCCUCCAUAGUAGCUGGGAUUACAGGCACCUACCAUCAUGCCGGCUAAUUUUUGUGUUGGCCAGGCCACGUCUUGAACUCCUGACCUCAGGUGAUCUGCAUACCAAAAUGCUGGGAUUACAGGGAUGAGCCACCACACUGGCCUACUCUUUUUUUAAAAAAAUAGUAAUUUGUACUGCUUAAGUACUGCAGGUUUUUUUCUUAAUUGACUGCCACCAAGGAGUAAUGAGUAUCAAAUAUUCUUCUAAAGGCCCAAUGUGCAUUAAUUCAUGUAGAUAUCCAUGUCAGCCUUGUGUGGUAGGUACUUAUAUUUAUCUUAGUUUAUAAAACAAUCUAUGAGUCAGAAAGGUAAAUAACCUGCCUAAGAUCACUCAGCUGGCAAGUGCAGGAUGGAAUUUUUUAUUUUAUUUUAUUUUCUUAAUACUCAUUUUCAUCCUGUUAUUUUAUUUUUGAGAUGGAGUUUUGCUAUGUCACCAAGACUGGAGUACAGUGGCACAAUCACAGCUUACUGCAAGCUCCGCCUCCCAGGUUCAAGUGAUUCUCCUGCCUCAGACUCCCGAGUAGCUGGGAUUAUAGGCGCCCACCAUCAUCCCUGGCUAAUUUUUGUAUUUUUAGUAGAGAUGGGUUUUCGCCAUGUUGGUCAGGCUGGUCUUGAACUCCUGACCUCAAGUGAUCCACUCACCUCGGCCUCCCAAAGUGCUGGGAUUACAGGCAUGAGCCACCGCAUCUCUCUCAGCCGAGGAUGGAAAGUCAAACCUAGAUUUGUGAGUCUUCAAAGAACACCAAUGCUCUUGAACAGUGCUAGCCUGCUUCUCUGUGAUUGGCCAUUCCGAGGAAGCGCAGUUUUUGGUAUUCAAUAAAAACCUUGUGAAAUGUAUUUUGAUGUAAUUGCAAAGGCUUGUCUCAACAAUAUCCAUCUCCCAUUCAAAAACUAAUUACAAAUUCGUUGGCCAGCAUGAUUAAAGGCUCAGAAUGAAUUAAGCCCCAACCUAAUUAUGUUUAAAAAAAAAAAAACCCUGCAAUAGACAGAGUUUUUUUUUUUUUUUUUUUAAUCUACUUACUUUCUGCUGCAUAGGUUAGUGUUUUACAUAGUCAAAUCAUUUUUGUUUUCUUUAUGGUUUCUGCUUUUGGUGUCUCUUAUAGAAAAGACUUCCCCAAUUCACAAUUAUUAAAAUGGUCACCUAUUUUCCUUUGAAGUAAACCAGUCUAUAAGCUGUUUGUAAGAUUGUUUGGCAGUUUAUUCAGAAGAAAUCCAAGGCUGGGCGUGGUGGCUCAUGCCUGUAAUUCACGCACUUUGGAGGCCAAGGCGUGCAGAUCACCUGAGGUCGGGAGUUCAAGACCAGCCUGACCAACAUGGUGAAACCCCGUCUUAAAAAAAAAGAAGAAGAAGAAGAAAUCCAUGUCAGAGGAUCCAAAUUUAAUAUGCUUUUGCUUUGACUUCAGUACCAAAAAGUUAAAUAAUUUUACUAUGACAUUAUCUUCUCCUUUACAAGUCUUGAAUUCAGAAUUUACCAUGUUCGUACUUAACCCCAUUUUUCAACAGAUGCAGUUACCUAUGAAACUGUGUAUCAUGUUUAUUAAUUGCAGAGAAGCCCAUAAGCUGUAGAAGAAAGCUAUUCCUAUGGAUUAGGCCGGUAUUACUAUCUAAAUAACUAGCUCACCAUCAUAAAUGAUUUCUUAAAUGGUCUCUUAUUAAUUCCCCAUGAGACAGAUAAUUUAAUUUAGAAAUUGCUUGUUGUGUAGCCUAUCUGCACACUUGUGACCCACAAAUGGAUGACCCAUAUGUUGCUUUGUGAAGCAACUGGCUAAAAUUUCAAUCUCCUCGAAGACUCACUAAAUAAAUUUUUUAUCUGGUCAUAUAAUUGAGAUUUAUAGUCUACCAAAUGAGCUCUAUUGGUUUACAGCUGGGAGUUGGCCAUUAUAACUUAAUAAUACCUUUAAAAAAAUAUUUUCUCUCUGAUUCCACAGAGAUAUUUUGGUCUGCAGCCUUUCUUUUCUGCUUUUCUACAGAGUAGCUUGUGAAUUUACACUCACUUACAUUUCUUGCUCUGUGUUUUUCUGAUUAGAAAUGUAAAGCCACAAGAUUUUAAAGGUAAGUGGUUAGAAAAAACAGUGUAUAAAAUUGACAGACAUUAUACAUUUUGUGAAAAAGAAGAGAAAUAUAUAUUCACCGAAAGGAAUCUGGACAGAUCAUAAUGUUUGCAGUGAUUAUUCCUGAGUGGUGGGAUCGGGGAUAAUUUUCAGUUUCUUUGUAUUUUGGUUAUUUUCAAACUUUCAACAAUGAGCUCGAUUACUUUUACAUAAUUACAAAAUAUUUGGGGACAAACAUUCACCUAUUUCCCUUUUAUGAAAACUUACUGGAAUUAACAUCAUUUGAUAUAGUAACUAUUUCUAAGUGAAAAACAUAAUUAAGACUGCAAAAUAUUACCAUAAAGCCAUUGGCUUAUUCUAUAGCACUGUGUAAGCACAGCAUAGAAUCAGAAGAUGAAGAUCCCAGAAUGUGGGAACAGAAAGCUGACAACUGAUUGAAGAAUGGUGAGAAGACACAGGUUCUGAGGACUGUUUGACAUCCUUUCCCUUUUGAAAGAAAAGCUAUGUUCGAAUGAGAGAAGAGUCAUGAAAACCAAAAGGUUUCUGCAUUUAAUUCACUAUUUAGAGGACUGAAUUUACUCUUUUUUUUUUUUUUUUUUUUUUUUUUAUAAGGAGUUUCGCUCUUGUUACCCAGGCUGGAGUGCAAUGGCGCAAUCUCGGCUCACCGCAACCUCCGCCCCCUGGGUUCAGGCAAUUCUCCUGCCUCAGCCUCCUGAGUAGCUGGGAUUACAGGCACGCGCCACCGUGCCCAGCUAACUUUUUGUAAUUUUUAGUAGAGACGGGGUUUCACCAUGUUGACCAGGAUGGUCUCGAUCUGUUGACCUCGUGAUCCACCCGCCUCGGCCUCCCAAUGAAUUUACUCUUUGAUUACAAGCACUGGUAGUUAUAUUUUAUCUAUUUUGUGGAAAUGAGUUAGCACGUGUAGAAAACUGCUCUGAAAGGGACUGAAAUGAAGCCAUUAAGACCAAAGUGUACUUUUUAAAAAUUAAAUCCAGCCCUCACGCCUAUAAUCCCAGCACUUUGGGA